GCUGGAUUAGUAUAAUUGUACACCGAUUUUUCCCAUUGAAAGUCUUUCUAGGUAAUGGAAAAUCCGGUU
rnacentral:tRNA from 1 species